rnacentral:rRNA from 1 species
CCCCUACGGGAGCAGCAGUGAGGAAUAUUGGUCAAUGGCCGAGAGGCUGAACCAGCCAAGUAGCGUGAAGGAUGACUGCCCUAUGGGUUGUAAACUUCUUUUAUAUGGGAAUAAAACGUUCCACGUGUGGGAUUUUGUAUGUACCAUAUGAAUAAGGAUCGGCUAACUCCGUGCCAGCAGCCGCGGUAAUACGGAGGAUCCGAGUGUUAUCCGGAUUUAUUGGGUUUAAAGGGAGCGUAGGUGGAUUGUUAAGUCAGUUGUGAAAGUUUGCGGCUCAACCGUAAAAUUGCAGUUGAAGCUGGCAG